UGGGAGUCACCCUCGAUCUCCACCUCCCGCAAACCAAGAUGUAAACCAAGUUGAGUAUAAUUUCAUGAUUAUUCCAAGUUGUCAAGUUUAUAAAUGGAAUUCAUUUAAGAAUUUUAUUGUACUGGAUAUGAAUUUAUAAACUAGUAUAUUUCCUUGUACUCAUUUUGACAUCUCCUCAUAAAGUGGUUAUUUCAUAACUAAACUUGCGAAAACAGAAAGGUUCAUGAUCUGGCUCUUUAGAAUAUAAGACUAAUCAUCUUGUUUUAUAAGACAUGAAAAUGAAUAAUAUUUGAAAUAUACUUAUUAUAUGCAUAAAACUGGUGGGUAAGUCCAAAAGAAUUAGCAACCUUUUAGCACUUAAUUUGAGGAAAAAUGUUGGGGAACAAUUAGAAAUAACCCAAAAAUUAAUUCAUCUUAACAAGAGAAAGGUGAAACUUUGAAUAACAGAGUUUAUCCCAUCAAAGAAGUUCCAAAAUCCCUGAGCUUACAUACAAGCAACUAAAAAGUUAAAUCAAACUUCAUCAAAUUUCCCAUUUCCUUAUUAUCACAAUUUGAUCAUUCUAUAAUCAAGUUUAGGGUUUUAUAAAGUUCCAAAAGCUAAAACAAAAAGGCAUGUCCUUUUUCGAUUCUAACCCUUCAAACUAUACUAAAAACCAAAACUUGAAACAACCUAGAUUAGAGACCGUAAACAAAAACCAAAAUAAUGGAUCAAAAAAGUAUCUUUGAUCAAAUAUGAACCCAAUAUAAAAAUAUUUCAGAUUAGAGGUGAAGCAAAACUAACUUGUAAAAUAAACAAGAAAAGAGAGUGAGAUACUUAAGAGUAAAACCAGUAAAAGACCAACGAGAAAGCCGAAAACAGAAAAAUGUCUUUCCCCUCAAUGUCUUGUCGAAUCAACUUGUUUUGGGACAAUGAGAUGCUAAAUCACAACACAGGCAAAGAGGUGUUCAAUACAGAGAUGAACCCUGGGUUGGGGUGGUAAUGAAAGGGAAAGGGAAGGGUAAGAGGGUUUAACAAAGUGCUGGGAUGUGAAAAGGAGAAAGGUUGAAAAAUGUCAUACGAAAAAAAAGGGUAAGACAUUUUUCUAAAAAAAGGCACCAUUUUCCUAUGUUUUGGAGAAUGUUUUACGAUGAUAAUUCAUUUUCCACCAAAAAACCAUCAGAAAAGGUUGAAAAUAUUUUUCAUAAAAGUUUUCACAGGUAAACAAAAGGAUCCUUAAUAUAUUUGUUUCCUUGUGCUAAAUGAAAUGUUUUCACCAAUUUUACUUAAACAGUCUUUAAAAAUUAUUUUUACUACGAAAAUUUUUGGAAAACCAUUGGUUUCAGUGGAUAAACGAAUUCAAAAUGAUCUGAAAUUUUAUAUAUUAUUUCUUGACACUUUGGUAUAUUGAAAAAAAUGUUUUCCAAAAAAUAAAAAGAAAAAGAAAAAAUUUUAAAAAAUAAAAAAAAAGACAAAAAAGAAAAAAAUUAAAAAAAUAUUUUGUCGGUUGAAUUUUGUGCCUAAAAUUUCAAGAUCGAAUAUUUAUCAUAUAAAAAGGAUCUAGCUUAAUUUUCGUGAUUUUAGCAGAUCGGGAACACCUUGAAUAUAAAAUUCAAGUUGUUUUCUACUGUUUUAGGUUUUCGGGUGGGUAGUUUAUAUUUUUUGAUUCUAGCCUUAGGUUUUCUUUUGUUUUUAGUUUUUCUUAUUCUAUUAUGGAUUCUAACAAAUUUUUGCUUUUGUGUUAAUUGGUAUGAAAAGAGUCGCCUCUUCUAUCUUCGCGCAAUUUUUCGCGCAACUUACUUCAUUUGGUAUAUUAAAUAAUAAUUAUUUAAUAAAAAAAUUAUUUAAAAGUCAUCAUGAAACUAUUGAUUUUUUUAAGUAAUGGUAAAAUUUCCAUUAAGUCAUUUUCAUCAAAAUAAAAAUAGAAUAAUUGAACUUUAGUUUCUAUACUUUCCCAACUUAUUUAGUUUAGUCCCUGAACUCGAUAUAGAAUUUUAAACUUAAUCACAUGCUCCUACUAAUAAUUUUCUAUGUUUUCAUGUUUGACAGUUUCCUCUAAAAAUGAUCACAAUUUCUUAUACAACUAUUUAUUUAUAGAUUACUUAUUUAAGGACUUCUACCAUAAAUAUUCUUUUUUUUUAAAGUAGGGAUGUUACCUUGAACUCCAUAUUGGGUAACUAAGUUUAGUCUUUCAAAGCCCAUCAUAUAUUAAUAUUUAAUUAUUAUUAAAGUUAUAUAAUUAAAAACUGAAAAAUACUUUGUUAAUAUAAAGUAUAACCUUAUAGCUUAAAGGGCAAAUUAUAUGAAAUAUAAUUUGGCUAAAGGUGUGAAUGUUAUACAAUAUAAACACCUAAUCUAAAAUACAUAGUAAUUUAUAUAUAAAAUUCAAAAUUUUAAAAAUUCUAAAGGGUGCGACUGUCUAUUUGGAUCCAUCAUUGGCCGCCAACAAUAUACUUAUUUGAAGGCAAACAUUAAUUGUUAAAGAUUGCUUGAUUUCUUGGAACAUACAAGGAUGAUGCAUGCAUCAAAUGCAUAAUUAAACACAAACCAUUCAAUAAAUAAGUAUUGAUUGUAAUGAUAAAAUAUAUUACACUUAUAAGAAGAGAUACAUAUUUGAACUUUAGAAGCGAUAUUGUUGAGAGGGAUAACCUUGAACCCUAAACAUGGUACAAAUUGAUGAAAUUUUUAACAGAAAUGAUCAAUUUGCUCGUUGAUCUAACAUAAAAGGAUUAGUUUGCUCAUUUUUAAGUAAAAGAGGCCAAAUGCAAUCUGACUCCUAAUAUAGGUGCAUUCAUGGUACUUUUACCCUAUAUUCUCAUAAAUUAAAAUAAGGUCAAAAGAUCUAGAAAGCCCUAAACAUUUUUCAAAAAAAUAAUUAAAGCCUUUGAAUAUUAAAAUUUUAAUUAAUUAAGUUCUUUGACCGUUAAAGAGUGAUGGUUGUUGUUUUUGGGUUAUUUUUGCCACGUGUCAUUUUAAGUUAGUACUAUGUGACGAAAAUUGAUAUUUUAUGUUUAAAACCAUUUAAAAAUUAUAAAUAGUACAAAAAUAUUAAAAACAAAACUAUUAAAAUAACAAAAAAAAUAUAAAAAGAAAUAUAAAUUACAAUAAAAAUAAAAAUAUUGUAAAAAAUGAAAUAUAUUUAAAAGCUAUAGAAAAUUAUUAAAAUUUCUAUAAAAUAUAAAAAAUAUUAUAAAAAGCAUAAAAUUAUAAAACAAAUUAAAAAUAUAUGAAAAUUAUAAAGCUUAUAUUUUUUCAUUUGCAUACUAACCAUUGUUAACAAUACAACACCGAUUAAAAAUUAUAUAAAAAAUUAUUUGAUUCCUUAAGCUAUCUAUUGUGUUAAUCUUACACAGACCUCCCCAAUGCUUGCACCCCUUUGUCCAUCAUCGAUGACAGGAGAGUCGUUUUGAGAUGCAAACUAAGGAGCGAAAUGGAUGGGAAGGAACCAAUGCUAUAUACCAAAUUGUAGGAAUUUUAUUAUACAAUUUUUUUGUAAUUUUCUAUAAAGUUUUGGGUUAAUCCAUUAUUUGAGGUUUGAACUUGGUAAGUGUUAUCACAUAGGAACUUAAAUUUUUUUGGUCCAAGUUAGUCCUUCAACUAAUCAAUUGAUCUUGCAUUGGGACUUGAAUUUUUUUUUGUUCAAAUUAAUCCCUAAUAUUUCCUUGAAAAAAGUUGGAUAAAAAAAGUUUAGGUUACAACAUGGGAGCAAUUGUCAAGUUCAAGGGCUAUCUUGGACCAAAACAAAGUUUAAGUCCCAAUAUGGGAGCAAUUGUCAAAUUCAUGGAUUAACCUAGUUAAAAAAAAGUUUAAAUCUUGUGAGAGCCAUUACUAAAUUCAAACCUAAAAAAUAAAUUAACCCUAAUUUUUUAAACUUCUAUAUUUUUUAAUAAUUUUUCAUUUCCUAUUUUUUUUAUAAAUAUUUGUAAAUUUUAUCUAUUUUAUAAUUUUUUAAUAAAUUUAAAUAAAAAUUAAAUUUCCUUCAAAAAUAAACUAAAAAUUGCAGCUGUGUAAGAGUUGAGGGUUAAUUUAACAGUUGUUUUUGGGGGUAACUGCUAACUCUUUAGCCUUGAAAUAAUAAAAAGAAAAGAACCAUAAACAAAUCUAAACCUUUGAUCCAAAACGUGUGUGUUUCUAAAGCUAAGGAGAGAAAAGAUUUAGAAGUAGGAGCCAUUAGCCUUUAUACGUAUAAUGGAGGAGUAAGAGACAGAUAUAGAUUAUAGCGACAUCGUUCUCUGGGAAUUCUUAAAUAGCACCAAGCAAGUCGGGUUUCUGUGAUCUAACAUUAUCCAAACUCAUUGCUCAUUGCUUCAACCUCAGAACACAACAAAAUCCAAGUACAGAAUCCACUAACAAACCACGAAAAUAUAGAAAAAUGUGUUGUAUAUUUUAUUGAUCAAAAAAACCAAAAAAAAAAAAGGGCACUAAAUCCAUUUUGAUGGAUACAAUUACAAGUGCCUGCAAUAUCUCACUCAAGCUGCUUGCAGAGAAUUCAUUUUUGAUAAUCAGUGAUGUAUCUUAAGUCAAGGAAAGUUCGAAAAAAGAAGAACGUUUCUUUUAUGGUUUGAAAGGAGCAAAAACUACCACUGAAUUGUGUCCACCGAAUCCAAAUGAAUUGGAGAUAGCUGCAGAGAUAUCAAGAAACAUAAAUUAUUUACAAAAAAUACAAUGGCUUAUACCAAUAACAUUGACCUCUUCGAUCCUUAUUGAAAUAACAUCAACUUUUAGUUGGAGAAUAAGAGUACGUACCAACAUUGACUUCAUGCUGUUUCUUCACAUUGGGAACAGUAUCGAUUGUCACUUCAGGCUCCAAGUUCUGCAUAGAAGAGAAGAUACAAGAACAUCAAAUCAUUUGCAAACCAAGGGUUCUUUUUGCAAAAUGUUGGGUGAAAUAUUUACAUCUUGGUUAAUGGUAGGAUGCAGCCAGCCAGUUGUAAUUGCUUUUACGGUUGCUAUGGCCUCCAAUCCUCCAGCAGCUCCAAGUCCAUGUCCAAUCAUUGACUGAAAUGAGAAACAGAAAAAAUUGCUUUAGUCCUUAGCCAUUUUCCAUAGCAUCAAAUAUAAUGGUUUGUAAUUUUUGUUUGUCACCUUUGUCCCAUUCAUCUUUAUCUCAGAGGUGUUCUUGAAGACCAUUUUUAUUGCAUUAACCUCAGCCAAAUCUCCUGCCAACGUGGAUGUCGCAUGAGCAUUUACAUAGUUCACCUGCAGAUCAAUGGUUCAACAAUGUAUAAAUUGUUCAAGUUUCUUUUCAUAGUCAAAAGUCAAAGUGUUGUUCUUGCCUCUUCAGGGGAAACUCCAG
rnacentral:lncRNA from 1 species